GAAGGGGGCUAGCGUUGUUCGGAAUUACUGGGCGUAAAGCGCACGUAGGCGGUUUUCCAAGUUGGAGGUGAAAUCCCUGGGCUUAACCCAGGAACUGCCCCCAAGACUGGAAGACUCGAGUCCGAGAGAGGUGAGUGGAAUUUCCAGUGUAGAGGUGAAAUUCGUAGAUAUUGGAAAGAACACCAGUGGCGAAGGCGGCUCACUGGCUCGGUACUGACGCUGAGGUGCGACAGCGUGGGGAGCAAACAGGAUUAGAUACCCUGGUAGUCCACGCCGUAAACGAUGGGUGCUAGUUGUCAGGCAGCUUGCUGCUUGGUGACGCAGCUAACGCAUUAAGCACCCCGCCUGGGGAGUACGGUCGCAAGAUUA
rnacentral:rRNA from 1 species